AUUGGACGCUGGCGGCAUGCCUUACACAUGCAAAUCGAACGGUAACGGGCCUUCGGGUGCCGACGAGUGGCGAACGGGUGAGUAAUACAUCGGAACGUGCCCGAUCGUGGGGGAUAACGAGGCGAAAGCUUUGCUAAUACCGCAUACGAUCUACGGAUGAAAGCAGGGGACCGCAAGGCCUUGCGCGGACGGAGCGGCCGAUGGCAGAUUAGGUAGUUGGUGGGAUAAAAGCUUACCAAGCCGACGAUCUGUAGCUGGUCUGAGAGGAUGAUCAGCCACACUGGGACUGAGACACGGCCCAGACUCCUACGGGAGGCAGCAGUGGGGAAUUUUGGACAAUGGGCGCAAGCCUGAUCCAGCCAUGCCGCGUGCAGGAUGAAGGCCUUCGGGUUGUAAACUGAUUUUGUACGGAACGAAAAGCCUUCUUUUAAUACAGGAGGGUCAUGACGGUACCGUAAGAAUAAGCACCGGCUAACUACGUG
rnacentral:rRNA from 1 species